CUUCCCUCACUUUACCUAGUCCCAUGAGAGCCCCAGUGUUUCUCCUUUUAGCUUCUGUUUAUUCGAUGGCUGUCUGUUACUUGUGCUGUUCUUAGAAUUAAUCAUCACAUUGGGGGUCUUAGCCCACAGUGGCCAGGAUUCCCAGACUCUUCAGCAUCUGCUACCAUUUGGCCAGAAUUCACAUAUAGAAAGUUAUUUCCUUUUUUAGCCAGUAAGUGCUCUUGGCUGCAGCAGUGUCUACCACUGGGUUCUCAGCUGCCCAAACAGCAGGCUCUGGUGUUCCAUUGAUGUCACAUUAUAACAAGAACAAAAGAAAAAGAAACAGCAUUAUCAUUGGUGGGUCCCAUGGUUUCUGGGGACUAGUGGGGCACAGACCAUGUUGGCAUCACUCUCUAGUUGUGUAACCUCGGGCAAAUCACUUAAACUCUCAGUUUCUAACUCAUCUGAAAGAAUAAGUAAAUAUAUGAAAAUGCCUAGAAGAGUCUUUGGCACAUAGAAGGCACUCCAUAAUGUUAGUACUUUGUUUUCUGACAGCUCCUGUAAAAAUUCUCAAGCAUGAUCCAACUAUCCAGCUGGAUGAGGAAUUCGAGAGUGCAACAGGCUGGUUAGUGACCCAGCAAGGAUCUCCAUGUGGCACCAGAGGUGUCCACACCAAGUCCUUCUGGGUGCUACGGGACAUGACUGUCCCCAGACAUUACAGGUCCACCACUGCCUACCUCUGCCUGCUCAUCUCCAUCCCGUCCCCUGCAAUAUUUUCAACAAGAAAUCAGAUGAAUACGCAAGAAGGUGUUUAUCAGUGUACAACACAAAUGAAGCUAAAAAUAGAAAAUACAAAGAACAACAGAAUCAGGAUCCAAACUGAUCUGCCCAGGAUAGCAAGAGGAAAUAUAAUCAAGGUAAAUAUAAAAAGUCCAGCAUUUACCUUCACAAAAUUAACUGCAUAGCAGUACGAAGAACAGAUGUAGCAAUAUCUGGGUAUUUCACAUCCAGCUUAUGGU
rnacentral:lncRNA from 1 species